AUAAGCGUGAAUAACUCCUCUAAGGAAACAUUUACGCCAUAGUGUAGAUUGUGUAUAAAAAGGUGCAUUUGAUUUGUAUUAUGAAUUCGUAAAGUAUUGGCAUCCUGAUAUGAUUACAACCAGUGGCGGAUUUAAGGGGACACCAAGGGACAGUGCCUAUUAAUAGUCUGGUAAUAAAUUAUUGUACCAGACUGUUGGUCUUGUACUCCCAGUAACCAAGACAGCUUACACGUGUAAAAACAAAGAAGAAGAAAGAAAAUGUGUACAAUGCAACGAGAUGUAAUACUUGUAGUAUCACAUUCCACUGUUCAAAAUCAUCUUAUUGAUUGCAGUAUACAAGUAUAAUACACAUGUACAUGCAGGCUCCAGUUGUUCUGAAUGUUUAUGCCUAAGGCAGGAAGGUUAGAAUACUUAUAUAAAUGAGAAUAACAGCACGA